CUCGGCAUAGGAAGGCAGGGGUCUUUUCCAAAAGGGGUGGAGAAAGGAAUAGACAUGUUACUAUGUUAGGAACCAUGGCGACAUGACCGCGUUUGCAGCCUUUUCUUGAACAUAUUGUGAUGUUCAAGCAUAUUUGGGAAGCCUAUGUCUCUAAGCUCGAGGGUGAAAGUUUAAUGCUAAGUACAAAAGUGGAAAGCUUGAAUUCGAAUGUGGCAUAGGCUCGAAAUUUGGGAGUCGGAACAAGAUUGGUCGAAAAGAAAACCCCAAAUUGAAGAAACUUUAUUUCUUCGUUUUCUCUAUUUUUGAACCCUAGCUCAUUGCCCCCUUCCUCUUCUACGUCUCUGUUCCCAGUUGACUGCAGCUACGGCCGGCGAGUUUACAUUUAAGGGUAUUGAGCCCCCUGCCUCGUUCAUCUUCUCCAGCUACUUUCCCAGUUGAUUGCUGCGGUGGCUCUCUUCUCUGCAAGUGAACAAGUGUGAGGAGGAAUGCGUUUGUUCAAUCGAUCUUCCAUUUCCUGUAAUCUCAUGAGCUCAAGAGUCUGGGCUCAUCAGUGCGAUUGGAUUUCUGCAAAAUGCUCACCGCUGUCUCUUUUAGUUGAUGGGGAUUGUAGGGUUAGGGUUUGGACCCAAUUUUCUGUUUCCAUUUCAAACCUUAAGGUUGUGUGGCGUAAGGAUCAUGAUUUGGAUGAGGCAAUUGAAGAUGACAAGGAAUGGAGACUCUGUACCAAAGUUGUGAAGGAGGUUUUGAAUGAACCUGGACAGGUUAUUCCACUUCGUUACCUGGAGAAGCGAAGAGAAAGGUUGCGUCUCCAAGUUAAGGUCAAGACAUUCCUCAGUAGAUACCCUGGACUCUUCGAUAUCUACCUUGAUCGGAUCAAACCUAAAACUGAGCCUGUCCCAUUCGUCCGUGCCAGCAAUCGUCUCUGCCGGUUUCUGGAGGAAGAGAAGCAUAUCAAAGCUGAGAAUGAGCAUUUCUUGGUGGAGAAGUUGUGUAAAUUGCUCAUGAUGUCCAAAGAUAGAGUAGUCAGCGCCGAUAAAUUGGUUCACGUCAAGAGGGAAUUCGGGUUCCCAGAUGAUUUCUUGUGUAGCAUGGUGCCCAAAUAUCCACAAUUAUUUAGGUUGGUUGGGAGCCCUGGUGAGGGAAAAUCAUUUUUGGAAUUGGUCUCCUGGAACCCAGACUAUGCUCAGUCAGUUAUAGAACAAAGAGCAGAGGAAGAGUCCAGGUUAACGGGGAUCCGAGUCAGGCCUGCCUUUAACGUCAAGCUCCCUAAAGGUUUCUUCCUCAGGAAAGAAAUGAGGGAAUGGACCAGAGACUGGAUGGAGCUUCCCUAUAUAUCUCCUUAUGCUGAUGCUUCACAGUUGGAUCAGGCUUCGCCUGAGAUGGAGAAGAGGACAGUGGGACUUUUCCAUGAGUUGCUUUCACUGUCCAUCCUCAAAAGGAUGCCUGUGCCAAUAUUGGGGAAGUUCAGCGAGGAGUAUCGGUUCUCCAAUGCAUUCUCUGGUGUUUUCACGAGGCACUCAGGAAUCUUCUAUAUGUCCCUAAAAGGUGGAAUCAAAACUGCUAUGCUUAGGGAAGCCUACCGGAAUUCUGAGCUGGUCAGUCGCGACCCUUUGCUUGUUAUUAAAGAUAAGUUCAUUGAACUGUUGGCUGAAGGGCGCCUUGAAAGAGCAGAACAACUAAGACUAAGGAAGGAAGCAGUUCAAAAGGAUAUGGAAAUGGCGGCAAUUAGGAAUUUGGAAAUAUCACCUGACGGGGUAUGAUGAGGAUCAUUGAAUAUACAGUGCAACCUCACUUGCAUGUUAUGGGAGUCCUUGUUUGGUUAUAAAAGACACUGCUUUUUCUUGGAAUUUUCCUCUUGGAAAAUCUUGCACUCGAUCAUGUACUCUAAUCAUCCUUUCUUCCUUCAAAUAUUGAGCAGCUCAAUACUUGAAGUGUUGAAAUGGGAAAUGGUUUGUUUGAGACAGAUCUUGACAAGGGAUCUGAGGAGGUGCAGGAACACUUAAAGAUGGAUACAGCAAGAGUAUGAGUAGAAGUUUCUUCCCCUGCUUCACAAAGAGCGCACCUGGUCUCAACCAUCAACACUUUUUCAAAGCUUGAAGCCAGUCAAAAUCUUCUACAUGUGACGGUAUUGGUUUCCCCCAAAUGUGUCUGAGGUCUGAGACAAUCAGGCUGAUGGAGACAACCUCCAAAUAGAAGGAUCUAACGGAGAUUCGCAGAUUCUGAUGGCUCCCAAAGUGGUGGUGGUGGUGGUGGUGGUGCUUGCUGGUUAAGAACGCUGGUGAAGCACACACUGUCAGUUUGUCCCUGCCCCACUUGGGUUCUAUAGCUAAGUACUGUCUAUUGCUUGUCUAUGGAUUAAAACAAUUUCCAUGUCAAUUAGUCAAUUAUCAUAUCAUGUCGGGAGAAAAAGAGCUUAAAUCUUUGGUGCCUGAAUUUUUUCUUAGCCAUAAAAGACUAUAUUUGCAUUUCCCUUUUGUUCUAUUAGGUUGUUUCUUAUUAUGCACUGUUGAUUCAUCUAUUGCACAUUUGUUAUGUUC